GGGCCGGUCAGCUCAGUGGUUUGAGAGUGGUGCUGGCACCAAUGACCAACACCAAGGUCGCAGGUUCGAUUCCCGCUCGGUUCC
rnacentral:tRNA from 1 species